GCUACCGGCAACACUUUCGUUCCGCUAUUGCACUUGACCCGAACUAGGACCGUGACGGCACUGACGAACUUGCGGCAGCGAUGAUGAUGCGUAUCCCUCCUUCGAAAUUGCGGUGCUGAGAUGAUGAUAAGGUAGAAGCUUGUGUGGAAUAAGGCUGCAGCCAAAACGGAAUGAAUAUUUGUUUUCUUUGAACUGGAACGGCAACAGUGGCAGCAUAGACGAUCGUCUCGAACAUGACGACUGCAACGAACCGACAUGGAACCGCGGACAAUAACUUAAAUAACAACUAUGCAUAAGCACAAAUAUACUUAUAGUUUAUUUCCUAA